AAUAACGUCGUCGAGUAGGUGAUAAUGAUUUGUGAUAAUGAUUAUGAUACGGCUUGGCGGCUUUGCGAGAAUGUUCAGAUUUUUAACUGUAGGAGACGUUGCCGUUUCCCGUUUCAUGUCUGUCGACCGGUGCCUUUUCGUUUGUGAAACAAUGUCACUUCAUGUGAAAUUCGAUGUACGUUAAAUCAUGACUAAAUAAACAGGCAUGUCAGCUAAAAUGUCAUUUUCGCUAUCGUCGCGCAUGUUCCCCAGACAUGGAAAGAAUAAUAUAAAAUGUAUAAUGUAGAUUAUUAUUAUAGCGUACAAUAUUUUAGCGUUUAUUCCAAGUCUGGGGAACAUUUUAUCACAAUUUUAUGUGCAGUGUUAUCGAGCUGACAUGCCUGUUUAUUUAGUCAUGCGUUAAACCAAGUCAGGUAGGCACUCCUAUUGCGUCGAUCACGUACAAUGUACAACUGCGUAUCAGGCAUAAUUUUAGUGGCUAACAAAUACAAAGUCAAAAUGAUGCAGAAAAAUUACAAAUUUGUAAAGAGAAAGUUUACUUGAAUCAUUUCAUGAAAGGAUACCUAUAGUAGGAUAAUAGAAAUGAGAAAAAAUGUAAGAUGUUAAAAAAUCUUUACAAAAAUAACUUACAGACUCGAAAGAAGCUGUUAAUUAUUAUGAACCCGAAAAAGUUGGCAUCAAAGAGCAUGAGAUAGUUAAGAAAAACUUUAUGUCUUGAUUACUGGCUACACGAAUAUGUUUGUUCUAGAAUUUAUGGAUUAGGAACAAAAUUGCCAUGAGACGAAUAUUGGUUGAUUGAGUCUCUAUAAGAUUUCAUAAAAACUAUUUAUUAACACCAAGAAGGACAAAAUGGAACAGUUAUAACAUCUAUAUACUUGAUUUCUAAAUUGGAUGGAAAUUUUAUGAAAUUAGAUGAAGCAAUAAAUACAUUUAGUACUGUUGCUAUGAGAUUUUCCAUUUCAGUGAAAUGUGAACAAUUUAACUUGAGAUCACAUUCUGAACAAUAAUAGCAAUUUUAUUGACUAUAUGAUGAACUAUAUGAACAUGACAUUUUUUCGCGGAUAAACUUGAAGGAUGGCCCUUAAUGUGUUCUGAAUUUUAAAUAUUUCAAAACUGAAAAUUUCGCUCUUCUUGAAAUAUUUCAAUGAAAUCAUGGCAAUAGUGGACUAGUGGGUGUCGCUCUGCUGUA